GACGUAGGGCGCGAGCGUUGUCCGGAUUUAUUGGGCGUAAAGAGCUCGUAGGCGGCCUGUUGCGUCCGCUGUGAAAUCCCGGGGCUCAACCCCGGGCCUGCAGUGGAUACGGGCUGGCUAGAGGCAGGCAGGGGAGAACGGAAUUCCUGGUGUAGCGGUGAAAUGCGCAGAUAUCAGGAGGAACACCGGUGGCGAGGGCGGUUCUCUGGGCCUGUACUGACGCUGAGGAGCGAAAGCGUGGGGAGCAAACAGG
rnacentral:rRNA from 1 species